AGAGUUUGAUCCUGGCUCAGGAUGAACGCUAGCGGCAGGCCUAAUACAUGCAAGUCGAACGGAGUUGAGUAGCAAUACUCAGCUUAGUGGCGCACGGGUGCGUAACGCGUAUGCAACCUACCUUUUACUGGGGGAUAGCCCGAAGAAAUUCGGAUUAAUACCGCAUACCACUAUUUGAGGGCAUCUGAGGAUAGUGAAAGAUUUAUUGGUAAAAGAUGGGCAUGCGUGCCAUUAGCUAGUUGGUUGAGGUAACGGCUCACCAAGGCGACGAUGGCUAGGGGUUCUGAGAGGAUGAUCCCCCACACUGGUACUGAGAUACGGACCAGACUCCUACGGGAGGCAGCAGUAGGGAAUAUUGGGCAAUGGACGAGAGUCUGACCCAGCCAUGCCGCGUGCAGGAUGAAGGCCUUCUGGGUUGUAAACUGCUUUUAUCUAGGAAGAAAAUACUCUUGCGAGAGGAACUGACGGUACUAGAGGAAUAAGCACCGGCUAACUCCGUGCCAGCAGCCGCGGUAAUACGGAGGGUGCAAGCGUUGUCCGGAUUUAUUGGGUUUAAAGGGUGCGUAGGCGGCUUAGUAAGUCCGUGGUGAAAGCCAACAGCUCAACUGUUGAACUGCCAUGGAUACUGCUAGGCUUGAGUACAGACGAGGUAGGCGGAAUGGAUGCUGUAGCGGUGAAAUGCAUAGAUAGCAUCCAGAACCCCGAUUGCGUAGGCAGCUUACUAGGCUGUAACUGACGCUGAGGCACGAAAGCGUGGGGAGCGAACAGGAUUAGAUACCCCAGUAGUCC
rnacentral:rRNA from 1 species